AUUGAACGCUGGCGGCAUGCCUUACACAUGCAAGUCGAACGGUAACGCGGGGCAACCUGGCGACGAGUGGCGAACGGGUGAGUAAUGCAUCGGAACGUGCCCAGUAGUGGGGGAUAGCCCGGCGAAAGCCGGAUUAAUACCGCAUACGACCUACGGGUGAAAGCGGGGGACCGUAAGGCCUCGCGCUAUUGGAGCGGCCGAUGUCAGAUUGGGUAGUUGGUGGGGUAAAGGCCUACCAAGCCUUCGAUCUGUAGCUGGUCUGAGAGGACGACCAGCCACACUGGGACUGAGACACGGCCCAGACUCCUACGGGAGGCAGCAGUGGGGAAUUUUGGACAAUGGGCGCAAGCCUGAUCCAGCCAUGCCGCGUGCGGGAAGAAGGCCUCGGUUGUAACG
rnacentral:rRNA from 1 species